rnacentral:rRNA from 1 species
CAUGGUUCAAAAGUAAAAGACGGUCUUGCUGUCACUUAUAGAUGGAUCCGCGCUGCAUUAGCUAGUUGGUAAGGUAACGGCUUACCAAGGCAACGAUGCAUAGCCGACCUGAGAGGGUGAUCGGCCACACUGGAACUGAGACACGGUCCAGACUCCUACGGGAGGCAGCAGUAGGGAAUCUUCCGCAAUGGGCGAAAGCCUGACGGAGCAACGCCGCGUGAGUGAUGAAGGUCUUCGGAUCGUAAAACUCUGUUAUUAGGGAAGAACAUAUGUGUAAGUAACUGUGCACAUCUUGACGGUACCUAAUCAGAAAGCCACGGCUAACUACGUGCCAGCAGCCGCGGUAAUACGUAGGUGGCAAGCGUUAUCCGGAAUUAUUGGGCGUAAAGCGCGCGUAGGCGGUUUUUUAAGUCUGAUGUGAAAGCCCACGGCUCAACCGUGGAGGGUCAUUGGAAACUGGAAAACUUGAGUGCAGAAGAGGAAAGUGGAAUUCCAUGUGUAGCGGUGAAAUGCGCAGAGAUAUGGAGGAACACCAGUGGCGAAGGCGACUUUCUGGUCUGUAACUGACGCUGAUGUGCGAAAGCGUGGGGAUCAAACAGGAUUAGAUACCCUGGUAGUCCACGCCGUAAACGAUGAGUGCUAAGUGUUAGGGGGUUUCCGCCCCUUAGUGCUGCAGCUAACGCAUUAAGCACUCCGCCUGGGGAGUACGACCGCAAGGUUGAAACUCAAAGGAAUUGACGGGGACCCGCACAAGCGGUGGAGCAUGUGGUUUAAUUCGAAGCAACGCGAAGAACCUUACCAAAUCUUGACAUCCUUUGACAACUCUAGAGAUAGAGCCUUCCCCUUCGGGGGACAAAGUGACAGGUGGUGCAUGGUUGUCGUCAGCUCGUGUCGUGAGAUGUUGGGUUAAGUCCCGCAACGAGCGCAACCCUUAAGCUUAGUUGCCAUCAUUAAGUUGGGCACUCUAAGUUGACUGCCGGUGACAAACCGGAGGAAGGUGGGGAUGACGUCAAAUCAUCAUGCCCCUUAUGAUUUGGGCUACACACGUGCUACAAUGGACAAUACAAAGGGCAGCGAAACCGCGAGGUCAAGCAAAUCCCAUAAAGUUGUUCUCAGUUCGGAUUGUAGUCUGCAACUCGACUACAUGAAGCUGGAAUCGCUAGUAAUCGUAGAUCAGCAUGCUACGGUGAAUACGUUCCCGGGUCUUGUACACACCGCCCGUCACACCACGAGAGUUUGUAACACCCGAAGCCGGUGGAGUAACCUUUUAGGAGCUAGCCGUCGAAGGUGGGACAAAUGAUUGGGGUGAAGUCGUAACAAGGUAGCCGUAUCGGAAGGUGCGGCUGGAUCACCU